UACGGAGGGUGCAAGCGUUGUCCGGAUUUAUUGGGUUUAAAGGGUGCGUAGGCGGCUGAUUAAGUCUGGGGUGAAAGCCCGUUGCUCAACAACGGAACUGCCCUGGAAACUAGUUAGCUUGAGUACAGACGAGGGUGGCGGAAUGGAUGCUGUAGCGGUGAAAUGCAUAGAUAGCAUCCAGAACCCCGAUUGCGAAGGCAGCUGCCUAGACUGUAACUGACGCUGAGGCACGAAAGCGUGGGGAGCGAACAGG
rnacentral:rRNA from 1 species